AUUGAACGCUGGCGGCAGGCUUAACACAUGCAAGUCGAGCGGGGACUUCGGUCCUAGCGGCGAACGGGUGAGGAAUGCUUGGGAACCUGCCCAGUAGCGGGGGAUAACGUUUCGAAAGGAACGCUAAUACCGCAUACGCCCUACGGGGGAAAGGGGGGGAUCUUCGGACCUCUCACUAUUGGAUGAGCCCAAGUCGGAUUAGCUAGUUGGUGGGGUAAAGGCCUACCAAGGCGACGAUCCGUAGCUGGUCUGAGAGGAUGAUCAGCCAAACUGGAACUGAGACACGGUCCAGACUCCUACGGGAGGCAGCAGUGGGGAAUAUUGCACAAUGGGCGAAAGCCUGAUCCAGCCAUGCCGCGUGUGUGAAGAAGGCCUUCGGGUUGUAAAGCACUUUAAGCGAGGAGGAAUGGCUCUUGGUUAAUAACCUUGAGCAGUGACGUUACUCGCAGAAUAAGCACCGGCUAACUCUGUGCCAGCCGCCGCGGUAACAC
rnacentral:rRNA from 1 species